rnacentral:rRNA from 1 species
UACGUAGGUGGCGAGCGUUGUCCGGAUUUACUGGGCGUAAAGGGAGCGUAGGCGGACUUUUAAGUGAGAUGUGAAAUACUCGGGCUCAACUUGAGUGCUGCAUUUCAGACUGGAAGUCUAGAGUGCAGGAGAGGAGAAUGGAAUUCCUAGUGUAGCGGUGAAAUGCGUAGAGAUUAGGAAGAACACCAGUGGCGAAGGCGAUUCUCUGGACUGUAACUGACGCUGAGGCUCGAAAGCGUGGGGAGCAAACAGG